AUGCUAAGCCGAAAAUUUUCCCUCCUCCUCCUCUUGCUGAUCUUGCCUCAUUCUUCUUAUCCUCUUCAUCCUCUUCACUUUCCAUCGCAUCCUCACGGGGGCAAAGGAAUCGCAGGUCGCAGGUCAGGGAGGGCUGUGUGUGUUGCUUGCAGGACCCGAGCCAACUGGUCUGGGAGUGUCCGGAGUUUAGUGAAAAUCGCAGGUUCAACUGAAGGGUUUCCCCGGAGUUCCGUUCAGCGGGACCAGCCAGCGCUCACCCAGGCCGGGGAUCAAUAUUAUGUCGGAGUAAAUACGUCGGGGCCUGUAGGGGAGGGGGAAACGCGGGGCUGGUCGGGGCUGGAGGGAGGGGCGACGCAGGGGCAGCGGUGCGGGUGGUGGCGGAGGUGGAGUGUCAGACUGGCUGGCCUCAGUGGCGGCCGUGGCGGUGCGGGGGCGGCUGGUGUCGACGAGUGACUGUCACACUUCCUCCUCCUCCUCCUCCUCCUUCCUCCUCCUUCCUCCUCCCGCUGCUCCUCUCUCUCUCCCUCCUCCCGCUGGCCGGAGUGGUGAUUCAGCUCGCCGCGGGGCCUGGUGGGGCACGUCGGGGCGGCGCGGGGCGGGGCGGGAGUCGGGGCAUCGUUGCCCAACUGAAUCCGUGAGUCCCCCCUGAAGUGCGGGCGUCAUCUGGCCCUCGAGCGGCGGCAGAGCAACAGGAAGCUGGUGGAGGUGUGCGGGGAGUGCCUCAGUAACCCGAUUGUGGCGCUGUGACUCCGACGCUGACACAACAACACAAAACAGGGAACGGUGCCAGUAGAGUGCCUCACUGGCCCUGGACGCGGCACACUGACCGCCACCGCCGCCUCAGGCUGACAUAACUGAACACAGCUGACUCCAGGGAGCAGCGCCCCCGCCACCCAUCACCUGGCACCCACCACACCCAAUAGCGGGCGUGCGGCGUGGAGUGAGGCGUGGGUGGGGAAGUGUGGGUGCCGCGGCGGGACAGCACGGGGGUGGAGUGUGCCCUGAGGGAGGGUGCGGUGCCCCCAGGGAAGAGCCGAAGGACCAGCUGGAUGACACGUGGCCCUCCACCGCCCACGCACGCACGCGGACACGCACGCACGCACGCACACACAAACCCUCCCCCACGUGAUGGCGCUGAGAAGAAGGCGGCGACGUCUGGCGAGAAAGUGAUGACAAAGACGACGAUCUGAAACUUUUCCCUACCUGUUGCGCUCCCUCCCCCACCCCCCACAGACCCUCGAGGGCGUGGCACUUACUUGCGGGCGGUGUGGGCGUUUCAGACAGCCACCAUGAGUCGCCGGCGGCACAGAACACUCAGCUUCUCAAUGCCGCACACGCAGAUCGAACGGCAGAUUGACACCUUCCUGGAGACCUUCAAGAGGCGAAGUGCCGCGGCCAUGGAGCGAGCACAGAGCCUCCAGGGGGCGCAGGGGGUCUUCUCUCCCCUUACAUAUACGACACACCCACACCGGAUGGCUCCCCCGCCCACAGGAUGCCCCGCUCCCCGCGCCUCGGCACCAAAGUGAAAUUUCAUAUCCCAGGGAGGCGGUCGCGGUGGGGUGUUUACUGCGGGCGGCCUGGGAUGGGCGCGGGCGUCCCCAGAAGUCGCUCCGGCGUGAGCAUGGCGUCCUCCGAGACAGACUCCGGUAGUGAUUCCAUGGAGGGCGUGACUCGCUCCCUCCCUCACUCCCUGCACGCCUGGGCCUCCUCCGACAGCAUUCCAGGUGAGUCUGUCCUUAAAACACCCCCGUUUUCUGUGGUGAUGAGUGGAGCUUCGUAGAAAACAGGAUUGGCUUGUGUAUAUUUCCUUUGUCUUCUCGCUCUGCCUUCCUUACUUACUUUCCUUCAUAGAGUAUUCUUCCCAUUUUCUUUCAA